GAUGCUGUCCCCUGUGAACAAAGGGAUUUAAAACUUGAUCCAAUUCAAACUGUCAGAUUUCUGUGUUCACAUUGUUAAAAUAAUAGAUUCUGUGUUGCAUAUUGGGGUGGGUGACUUUCACCUGCAAUCUAGAUGAAGAGGACAUUCCUACAGAGCGCUAGGGGGUUUGAGUCCCAGUGACAUCCAAUAAUGUGCCAUUGAGGGAGAAUGCAGGUGUCAUUCCAGCCAAUCACUGCAGCAGCUGAUUCCACUAAUUAGAUACUCCCUCCUUUAGCUGACUGCAUUCUAAUCAACUGCUGUGGUACUGAGUGAAAGGGAACUUGAGCCCACAGAAAAGGGACUGUCGCUGGCUGAGCAGCUUCCUCUCCACCUCGUCACGCCUCCCCCCUCUCCUUGUCAACUCAUGAGAUGUUGAGAGGACAAAGAAAACCAGCUCCCACUGAAUUCUGAGUGACCCCUUCACACCAGCGAGCAGUGAACUGACUAUCAGCCAGGACAUAAUGUGCAGCUGAAAAUGCAGCAGAACAACAGUGACCAGCACUGAAAAGCAAUUGAAGAGGAGCCACUGCUCAAUUUACUCUAAGACACUGGUGGUGUGGCAGAGACAAUCCUGAAGACUGACUUCCAUAAUAGAGAGCACCAACCUGGAGAAAACCCAUGCUGUAAAUCUCUCCUGGCUUUAUGGUGCACAUCGCAAGUACAUAAAUGAGGAGGAAGGACCGUGUACAUCCGCCUGACCGGAAUGGAUACGCUGUGUGUCUUUACUGCAUCUCCUGCGACAGACAUGGCAAAUAAAAGAAGGUGCUACCAGACAUACUACAGAAGCACUGCUGUAUCUUACCAGACAGGAACACAGGUGUGAAGAGGUUGCUGAUGAAAUUGAAGAGCAGGGAGAUAUACUCAGACCAGCAGUAUUCAUGGUCGCCCUCGCAGUACUUCGAUGAGGACAGCUACUCCCCUCCACCCAGGAACAUGAAGGGUCUUUCUGGCGGCCGCCCUGCCCAGCUCCAGCUCACCUCUCCAACCUCUGCCCACACUUGCGGCCUGGCUGAAUGUGACCAUUCCCUGGACCAUCACCUCCACCAUGGAAACUCGCGACCCCCCUCCUACCUCCUCAGCCCCACGGAGAGCUGCCCCCUCGACAGUCACCAUCGCUGCUCCCCACGGAGCUCCAUCCACUCUGAGUGUAUGGUGAUGCCAGUGUCCAUGUCAGCCACCGAUCACUCCAUCUCUAGUAGCACUUUCCCACGCAUGCACUACGGAAGCACUUCACGGGACACUGGUGGCAACACAUCUGGCUGCAGGGAAUCCCGAGAUGACGGUGGCUCAUCCUCGCAUGGUGGGAGUGGCAAAAUGAACCGAAUCCCAGCAAACCUCCUAGACCAGUUUGAGAAGCAGAUGCCAUUACACCGGGAUGGCUUCCACACCCUUCAAUACCAACGCACCUCCACCACAACCACAACUACAGAGCAACGCAAUGAGAGCCCAGGGCGAAUACGCCACUUAGUCCAUUCUGUACAGAAGCUCUUCACAAAAUCCCACUCUCUAGAAGGUUCCUCCAAGAUGAAUGGUACCAAAAGUGAUUCGCACCGCGACAGUUCACACCACCACCAUCACCACCACCACCAGGGCCACCACAAACACAGCAAACGCAGCAAGAGUAAAGAACGUAAAUCUGAUGGCAGUGGCAAGCAGCGCUCAGGAGGUUGGUGGAGUUCGGAUGACAACCUGGAUAGUGACAGCACUUACAGAACACCCAGUGUCAUGUCACGGCAUCCUGUGGACCACAUCAGUCACUGCUACCCUGACUCAGUGCAUGGCCAUCUGACUGGAGACGUAUCAAUCAAGACCUCCAAGAGUAACAACGAUGUCAAGUGCUCAGCCUGCGAGAGUAUAAGCAUGGCACCAGAGGGAAAAUUCAUGAAGAGGAGCUCCUGGUCAACCCUAACAGUCAGCCAAGCAAAGGAAGCCUACAGGAAGUCCUCACUCAACCUGGAGAAGCCCAUGACGCCCACCGACCUCAAGCCUAACCUCAGGCCCUGUCACUAUCUACAGGUGCCCCAGGAUGAUUGGGGGGGUUACCCUGGCGAUGGGAAGGAUGACGAGAUUCCUUGUCGUCGGAUGAGGAGCAGCAGCUACGUUAAAGCAAUGGGAGAUGAAGAGAGCGGAGAGUCGGACUCCAGCCCCAAGACAUCACCCCAGAAGUCGGUGCGGCCUGAUGCUCUGGUCAAGGCCAUCAUCAGACCCAGGGACCUGCUGGACUCCCAGAGCUCUUACCGCCUGGAUAAAAUCAACAGUGACAUGCGUAACUACAUCACCAAUUUUGCUGCAGACUUAAGUCAGAGCUACCACUUGCAAGCCACCAGGGACAUGCACCCAAGCAUUGCCCUGGAUCCCUCCACCAACUACAACUCUCCCAAGUUUCGCUCCAGGAACCAGAGCUAUAUGCGGGCUGUCAGCACCCUCAGUCAGGCUAGCUGUGUUAGCCAAGUGAGCCAGGUGAGUGAAACAGAAAUAAAUGGCCAGUUUGAAUCAGUGUGCGAGUCAGUGUUCAGUGAGGUGGAAUCCCAGGCCAUGGAGGCUUUGGACCUCCCUGGCUGCUUCAGAACUCGGAGUCACAGCUACCUGCGAGCCAUCCAGGCUGGCUACUCCCAAGACGAUGACUGCAUCCCCCCCAUGGCUUCCACUGUCACCUCCACCAUCAGGUCUACCACAGGGAUCCAGUUCGGCUUCCCCUCCACCUGCAGCAUUGAUCGGACUCUCCAGCAAACCCCAGCCAUCACCUACACACCCAACUACAAGAAGACCCCUCCUCCAGUCCCGCCCCGCACCACCUCCAAACCCCUCAUCUCCAUCACGGCCCAGAGCAGUACUGAGUCCACCCAGGAUGCCUACCAUGAGGGGAGGCACCCACAUGGUGGGGUGUGGGCCUCUGAUGGUCUCAGCCUGGGGCUGAACCCAGGCAGGGCCCUCUAUAACUCCACCGACAGCCUGGAUAGCGCCAAGGCUGUGACCAUAGCCAUGGAGGCAGCCGGAGUCAUGGCUGGAAAAAGACACCCGUCCACAGACAGCCACAGCUCAGUGCUCACCUGCGACAAGGCCAUCCUGGUGUCCAAGGCUGAGGAGUACUUGAAGACGCCUCGAUCCUCUAUAGGGAUACAGGUGGAAGCAGCCACGGACUCUGAAUCUGAAAGCAAAGGUUCACGGGAGUACCACUCUGUUGGGAUCCAGGUGGAAGACAACAAGAAAGGACAAGGCAGGUUCAAACGUUCAAACAGUGUGACUGCAGCUGUGCAGGCUGACAUGGAGUUGGAGGGCUUCCCCAUCAUGGAGGACAAGGGCCUGCAGUUUGGUGGGAGCUUCCAGCGUCACUCAGAGCCCAGCACACCCACCCAGUAUGGGGCAGUGCGAACCGUGCGUACCCAAGGGCUCUUCAGCUACCGUGAGGAUUACCGCACCCCUGCUGAACCCGCCAGCCCUAGAGAGACCACCAGCGAGACCACCUGGCAGCUGGAACCCCCCUCCCCACGGGAGAGCGCGGCCUCAUCGGGCGAGUCGGGCAGGGCGUCCCCCUCACUGAGGAGGGAUGGGAGCUGGUUCAUGCAACUGCUCCACACAGAUACCAAGAGGAUUGAGGGCUGGUGUAAGGAGAUGGAGGCAGAAGCUGAAGAGAAUGACCUGUCAGAGGAAAUCCUAGGCAAAAUCAGAAGUGCAGUGGGAAGCGCUCAGCUGCUCAUGUCUCAGAAAUUCCAGCAAUUCUACUGGCUGUGUCAGCAAAACCUGGACCCUAGUGCCAUGCCACGGCCCACUUCUCAGGACCUGGCUGGGUUCUGGGACCUAUUGCAGCUUUCCAUUGACGAUGUCACAAUGAAGUUUGACCAGCUGCAGCAGAUCAAGAACAACAGCUGGAGGCCCAUAGACAGCCCUGAGAAGAAGCCACCAGCUCCCGUACCAAAGAAGACUGCUCGACAGAGGAGCGUGAUAACGAGAGAGAAAUCCCUGGACCUCCCAGACAGGCACCGGCAGGAGGCCCGGCGGCGGCUCAUGGCGGCCAAGCGGGCAGCCUCAUUCCGGCAGAACUCAGCCUCGGAGCGAGCAGACAGCAUUGAGAUCUAUAUUCCCGAAGCUCAGACUAGACUUUGAGAGCGUAGGGUCCGGGGCCGACACAUCUCCCUGCACCCAUGUUCAAACGAUUUUAAAACUAGCCUUUUUUCUAGACCGCUACUCUCUCUACUCCUCCUUUAUCCAUCUGUUGUCUGAUCUCAAUAGCCAUCCUCAGUGCCCAUCACCAACACCACUGAUCUGUAGGAUGUGCCAAGUCUCUUCUCCCAUUGCCAGAAUAAGUGUUAGCAGAAAUGUCUGACGUGGGUCGGUUGGGUUCUUCCCUGGUGUGCUGGUGAUCAUGAUACUCAGCCUACAAGCUCUCUCAUCCAAUGUCCUGGAUGGGUAUGUCUGUAGUUUUUUCUGCAUUUGCAAAGUGCCAUUUAAAAAGUGCAGCUUUGAAAACCUACCAGCAACCAGGCCUUUGAGCUAAAAAGAGUAAAUGAGAGAAAUUCUGUUUAUUUCAAGUUCUUCAAAAAUGGUCAAAGUUAGGUAAUCUUCAGUAUUUUUCAGUAAUUUGAUGUAACAUUAUGAAUAUAAUUUUUGUUUCUCUGCUCUUUUUUUGGGGUGGGGGUGGGGUAAAUGUUAAUUACAAGUUAAAUAUCACAAAAUUGUUGUAAGUUUAAAACUUUGAAAAGUGCCAAUGCUUGAAAUACCUCAACUAUGUGCAUGUGGCACUGAUCACCCAUUCAAGGUUAUUCAGGCAACCCUUAUAAGCUCUGGACUGGUCAGUGUUGAAAAAUGCAGCUUUCUAUCCAAUCUGGUUGUAGUCAAACUUUUUUCUCGGUCUGGAUUGGUGGAAGAAUGACACCUGUCAGCUCAUUAACAUGCACAUUUUCAAACAAGUUUCCUAUAUAUCUCAUGUUCCUGUUGCCAACUUUCAGAUAUUGACAUUUACUUGAUGCUGAAAACAUGCAAGUGUUGUGCCAACAUUUCAUUAUGUCAGUGCAGUAGAAAAAAAACUAUGAAGGUUUGUGUAACUCCUUAGAUCAAAAUGUGUAGACAAAUGCACUUAUGCACUUAUAACAAUUCUCUAUUUCCAAGGGAAAUGUACAUACCCAAGUUCACAAUAGUACUGUUGUAUUUUUGAAUUGUGAGCAGGAAAAAUAUUCAUUGUGUGUAUUUUUUUUCCUCUCAUGUUCACUGCUUCCCUGCCCUCUCUAUUGCUUUUUGUUGCAUACAGUACAUACAGCAGCUUGAUCCCCCAUACAAAAUCAUACUGCUGUGUUUUCAUCUAAUGUACUUCUCUCAGGCCCUUUCAAGUGGCGCCCUCAGCUAUAGUUAAUGAGGAGUGAUAGAAAAACUGCCACAACAAAAACAAAAUAUCUGCAUACUAGUUUCUUUAAUCCAAGGAAUGGUUUCUAAUCUUCAUAUUUCUCGAAAGGAUCCGUGUUGCUAAAAGUUUCCUGAAGCAGUAUCACUCCAGCUGCAUGCACUCCCUCUAGGAAAGGCUGGGAAAUAAUUAAACAAAAUUGGGGCAAAGGCAUUCCAGGGGGAUGCAAGCAGCAAGUCCCCAAAUAACUAAAACUUUACAAGUCUCCUGUUGAAAGGAAAUACAUGCAGAAUAUAAUAUAACCGUCUGUAGCUAUGUGGAAAACUUGAUAUUUUGUCACAACAUGACAGUAAGCUCGAUAUUAUCCUUUACCUUUGAUUCCCAUCACAAUAUUGAGAUGUACCAAUUGCACCAGCUCUUCAUAUCUUAUAUAUAUAACUUAUAUAUCAUAUAAGUUAUUAGAAGGCUGAGUGGAGAUUUCCACAUCAAAAAAAUAAAAGUGACCUGUCCACACAAACACAUGUAACUGUCAGGUGUAAAUGUUAACAAGCUAACUGAAUCAAGCAGCAGAACCGUUAGCUUGUUAAUAUGGUCCCAUUUAGAUUGAGAAGUAAAAGUUCAAUUUCAAAUGAAAUAUUGUUACCAUAUCUCACCUGACCCUUGAUCAAAAUGUCUUACAAUGAUGUAAACUGUAACGAUUUUAAUUUUACACAACACACCUGAAAUUACACAAUAGUAUGCUAAGUCUGAGUCUGAGUCAGUCAAAUUACCAUAAUUAAUAUUUUCAACUCUUUUCUAAACCAUAUGCCAACUCUGAAACACAUUUUCUCAUUUAAAUUACUAAAUACUUACCAGCCUAAGACAUUUUUUAUGGUGCAAUUGAACCCAAUUUAUUACAUAAAUCUCUUAUUUGAAGCUAGCUAGUAGCGUAUACAAAGAAUAGCUGGUGCGACACAAACACAUAGUAAACUCAUCUUGAGCAAUUAAGCUAAAAUUCUGCUGCUCUUUAUUAUCAAACUUUGGUGCCAGUAACUUGAACAUCAGUAACCAUUGUAUUGCCAGACUUAUUCAAAUCACUGAUGGUAAAAACUUUGGAUAAUCAGCCAACUAAAUGGUGCUGUUUUUUAUUUAAUAAAUACAGUACUAGACAAACAAUGCAACGCAGUAUGCUGUCAGCUGAUCAUCACUUUAAAAAUAUUUUUAUGUAUUAGAAAUCUUUGAUUGAAGGAUUGUGCCUGCAUUAUGGGUAGGACCAGGGAGAUUUAUCAUAUAGCAGUAACAAGAAAUUAGGCUUAAUUUUGCUGGAUUUGAUUGUGUUUUGUUGUGUGUGUGUGUGUGUGUGUGUGUGUGUGUGCAUGUAUCUUGUUUUUGUAAUGGAAUGCUGACAUAUUCAGAAAAGAGCAGGUGGCUCUGGGGUCGGUGUGGCUUCAUGUCACUGUUCCUGCCCGCCUUUGGCCUGACCUUCACCUCUAUCUCAUACAAAUGCAAGCAAGCACACAGACACACAUUUUCCCUUUGUCAUCAGCACUCUGUUGAAGCAUAUUUAACCCUCGUAUUGUCUUCCCGUCAACCAAACAACUUUCGUCCUCUUGGGAUGAUACUGACCCAUUCUGAUUUAGCUGGUUAUAAAGUAUGAAAUAUGUAGUUAUUCCCCAAUGCUGUGUAGCACCAUGUUAGUUGACUUCAUUCAACCUCAUCACCACCAAUUGGACAAUUCUUUUUGGCAUUGCUAAUCAAUAGACCUCAUUUAUAUAAAUCUAUUCAUGGAUUCAUGGAGAAGGACAGACUUAUAUAUGACAGAAUUUGGUCAGGAUAGUGUUUUGAAACCAUUUCAGUUUUUUUCAUGGUAGUAAAUAAUGACACCUGCUGUUCUCCUGGGUCAAAAAAGAGCCGGUCUGGUUUGACUUAAGAAUAAAACAUCAAGCGAGUGAGUGCUUGAUGUUUUAAAAUAUAAUUAUCAUCCAGUUCUAAUAAAAAAGCACAAAUUCUGAAUUAUUUUGACUUUAGUUUAGAUCAGAGGAAUAUGUGUUCAUGGAUUCUGACAGGUUGGUAUAUUUCAAAAUUUAUUGAAGAUACUGUUUUGAAACUAUUUCUUUUUUUCUUUUUCUUUUUUUUUUAAAUGGCAGCACAUAAUGACAUCCUGUUGUCCUCCUGGGUCAAAACUGAUCCAGUCUGGUUUGACUGUUUAUAAAGCAUAAAGUAUCACUCUGUUCUGUGUUACACAUUUUUAUCCAUUUUAACUAUUGUAACUCAUUACCACAAAUUAUUUUGCACUUCUUUAUAGAAUUUAUAGUAAACAGGCUCCAUUUACAUGAAAUUAUGCCAUGGUUUUGAGUCAAAUAUGCAUAACCUUGUUGAAGUUGUUGACCCCCCCCCCUCUUGUUCCGGUUGUAGUCCAGGAUAAUUUGGGACUUUUUGUCUUCCCUGGAGCUUACAGCAGUAUCCUGAUGAAGAAUGCUCAUCAGAAGCAUACUUCUUUUUUGGGUGACAAUAGGACACAAGAGCAUGUGUCUCAGUGAACUUUGAUGAAUACCGAGCCCUGGCUCUUGUCAGCAGCAAUGCAGGAGGAAUCUCAGGUUUGUUUUCCCUGGCCGUUCCCACCAUAGUGAGCUUUUUCUUCAGCAACUCCUGGCCAAGGGCAUAUGAUGUGAAAAAGCUGUCACAUGUGAUGGGUUGUCCUUGGAGAUCUUAUGUCAUGUCAAGUACCACACAUUUGCCCUGAUCUCCUUUUGGCUGUCCAUCAGCUGGUUUGCUGGGGUAUAUUUGCAUUUUUCAGGCAUAGCUGGUCCUGGCAUUGCAUGCAGCCCGUAUUUUUAUACCAUACUUUCCAGGUUUGCUCGGCAUUUACUUUCUGAAGGCAGAGUGACCCACGAAGGAGACCAUGUGCCCAUCCACAGUCACAUCAGGGCCCAGAUUGUUCAUCAGCCACCCACUUGUCCCAUGCUUCUCAAAAGGCAGCAAGAUUAUCUUAUUCACAGCGUGCUGGUCUUGAAUCUUGAUCAUCAAAUCUAAUAAAUCUUGAAAUGAUAUGGAACAUCUUGAGUGGCAUAGUUGCAUGAAAGAUUGCCCUGCUAAACGGGGCAUGCCAUAAACUAGCUGUAGCUUCCCUACUGCCUCUUUAUACACCAACAAGAAUGAACAGACCCAGGUAUGUCUGCAGAUCCAUUCGAUCCAUUUCGGUCCACUUUUUGCUAUAUCUGUCACCCCUUCUUGUUUGUUAUGUCCAGAACCAUCUUUUCAAUUAGCUCUGACAGAAACAACUGAAAAGUGGACUUUGUGUCAUCAGCACAGGACAGUGCAUAUCUCGUUUGAUGUUGGACGCUCCACUCUCUCUCUGCUCCCAACAUACUUCCCUUGUCACUGGGAGGGAUGGACGACCAGAGCAAAUUUCCAUCUUUUGAGUGGAAAUGAUCUUCAAGUUCAGUAAGGUCCUCUUCUUCAAUUGAAUCAUGAGCCUCAUUAUUUUCAGUGUUCUCCUCUUUUUCUGACACUUCUUCCUUUUCUUCAGAUUCCUUCUGGUCACUCUCCUCCCCC